rnacentral:rRNA from 1 species
GUGGGGAAUCUUAGACAAUGGGGGAAACCCUGAUCUAGCCAUGCCGCGUGAUCGAUGAAGGCCUUAGGGUUGUAAAGCUCUUUCAGCUGGGAAGAUAAUGACGGUACCAGCAGAAGAAGCCCCGGCUAACUCCGUGCCAGCAGCCGCGGUAAUACGGAGGGGGCUAGCGUUGUUCGGAAUUACUGGGCGUAAAGCGCGCGUAGGCGGACCAGAAAGUUGGAGGUGAAAUCCCAGGGCUCAACCUUGGAACUGCCUUCAAAACUCCUGGUCUGGAGUUCGAGAGAGGUGAGUGGAAUUCCGAGUGUAGAGGUGAAAUUCGUAGAUAUUCGGAGGAACACCAGUGGCGAAGGCGGCUCACUGGCUCGAUACUGACGCUGAGGUGCGAAAGCGUGGGGAGCAAACAGGAUUAGAUACCCUUGUAGUCC